rnacentral:rRNA from 1 species
UACGUAGGGUGCAAGCGUUGUCCGGAAUUAUUGGGCGUAAAGAGCUCGUAGGCGGUUUGUCGCGUCUGCUGUGAAAUCCCCGGGCUCAACCCGGGAACUGCGUCCGAUACUGGCAGGCUUGAAUCCGGGAGAGGGAUGCGGAAUUCCAGGUGUAGCGGUGAAAUGCGUAGAUAUCUGGAGGAACACCGGUGGCGAAGGCGGCAUCCUGGACCGGCAUUGACGCUGAGGCGCGAAAGCCAGGGGAGCAAACGGG